AUGUUUGACUUCUGCUUAAGUAACUUGUUAACGGUUUCAUCCAGAGCUGAAAAUGCAACUGUAUUUCACAGAGGACAGAUGUAGGUUGCUAGUGACAAAAUAUUAGCUUUCAAUGCUUACAU